rnacentral:lncRNA from 1 species
CCUUGUUUUGUACCUGUACAUGAAGUAUACAUAUACAAUAGGGUCUAUCAUGUUAAGGAUCUGUAUUUCUAGAUCGUUUUUUGUUAUUGUUAAAGUGUUGGUACCUUGAAUGCCCUUUUCGUUGCGUCAAUGUUGCUUAGCAUAUAUUUUGAUUCUCAUGGUGCUUAGGUCCCUAUGUUUGGUGUCCAAAGUCCAUAUAUGUGCCAUAUAUAAGUUUAAUUCAAGUCGUAUAAGCAGAUUUAUACCGUCCUCUGUUUUUUUUAUAUAGCUUUACUGUUUUAUUUACAUGUAUACAAAUAGUAUAACAUGAGUACAGAUUCCAUUUAUUUUGUUGUGUUUAGAGGAACAGAAUUAUGUAUAUUAUAU